CUCGUAGGCGGCUCAGCAAGUCGGCCGUGAAAGCCCGAGGCUCAACCUCGGGACGCCGGUCGAAACUGCUGUGGCUAGGGUUCGGUAGAGGAGAGUGGAAUUCCCGGUGUAGCGGUGAAAUGCGCAGAUAUCGGGAGGAACACCAGUAGCGAAGGCGGCUCUCUGGGCCGACACCGACGCUGAGGAGCGAAAGCUAGGGGAGCAAACAGGAUUAGAUACCCUGGUAGUCC
rnacentral:rRNA from 1 species